ACUUUGAUCGAUUUCUUCAGAUUGAAAUUUUAGUGACUGAGUGGCGGACGGGUGAGUAACGCGUGGGUAACCUGCCUCACACAGGGGGAUAACAGUUGGAAACGGCUGCUAAUACCGCAUAAGCGCACGGUUCCGCAUGGAACAGUGUGAAAAACUCCGGUGGUGUGAGAUGGACCCGCGUCUGAUUAGCCAGUUGGCGGGGUAACGGCCCACCUAGUCUUCGAUGGAUAGGGGUUCUGAGAGGAAGGUCCCCACAUUGGAACUGAGACACGGUCCAAACUCC
rnacentral:rRNA from 1 species